GGACGAACGCUGGCGGCGCGCCUAACACAUGCAAGUCGAACGAGAGAUGAGGAGCUUGCUCUUCAAAUCGAGUGGCGAACGGGUGAGUAACGCGUGAGGAACCUGCCUCAAAGAGGGGGACAACAGUUGGAAACGACUGCUAAUACCGCAUAAGCCCACGGCUCGGCAUCGAGCAGAGGGAAAAGGAGCAAUCCGCUUUGAGAUGGCCUCGCGUCCGAUUAGCUAGUUGGUGAGGUAACGGCCCACCAAGGCGACGAUCGGUAGCCGGACUGAGAGGUUGAACGGCCACAUUGGGACUGAGACACGGCCCAGACUCCUACGGGAGGCAGCAGUGGGGAAUAUUGCACAAUGGGGGAAACCCUGAUGCAGCGACGCCGCGUGGAGGAAGAAGGUCUUCGGAUUGUAAACUCCUGUUGUUGAGGAAGAUAAUGACGGUACUCAACAAGGAAGUGACGGCUAACUACGUG
rnacentral:rRNA from 1 species